rnacentral:rRNA from 1 species
GUGGGGAAUCUUCCGCAAUGGACGAAAGUCUGACGGAGCAACGCCGCGUGAGUGAAGAAGGUUUUCGGAUCGUAAAGCUCUUUCGUUAGGGACGAACGUGCUCUUUGUGAAUAAUGAGGAGUAAUGACGGUACCUAAAUAAGAAGCCACGGCUAACUACGUGCCAGCAGCCGCGGUAAUACGUAGGUGGCAAGCGUUGUCCGGAAUUAUUGGGCGUAAAGCGCGCGCAGGCGGGAUAUCAAGUCUGUCUUAAAAGUGCGAGGCUCAUCCUCGUGAGGGGACAGAAACUGGUAUUCUUGAGUGUCGGAGAGGAAAGUGGAAUUCCAAGUGUAGCGGUGAAAUGCGUAGAGAUUUGGAAGAACACCAGUGGCGAAGGCGACUUUCUGGACGAUGUCUGACGCUGAGGCGCGAAAGCUAGGGGAGCGAACGGGAUUAGAAACCCCUGUAGUCC